rnacentral:rRNA from 1 species
UACGAGGGGGGCGAGCGUUGUUCGGAAUUAUUGGGCGUAAAGGGUGCGUAGGCGGUUUGGUAAGUCUGAUGUGAAAUCUAUGGGCUCAACUCAUAGUCUGCAUCGGAAACUGCCGGGCUUGAGUGUGGGAGAGGUGAGUGGAAUUUCCGGUGGAGCGGUGAAAUGCGUAGAGAUCGGAAAGAACACCAACGGCGAAAGCACUCUGCUGGGCCGACACUGACACUGAGAGACGAAAGCUAGGGGAGCGAAUGGG